UGCAUUUCAUAAGGUAGAGGAGGACGGUCUUCCUGAGGCCAGAACAGACUUCAGGGGACCAUGCAUACCAUACUCCGCUCCAGCCUAACUGCCUUUGGAAAAGGCCAGAACAAAAGGCUUGAAUCAAGAAUCAUUCAGGAACAGAAAUUUCAGGGGCUGUGGAGAACUGGAACAAUGGUGGAGAUCAAGCUGGGAGUCAGAAGCCCGUGGUUCAUGAGGUGCCUCAUUCUGGAGUGGAGAGGAAACCAUUUUUUGAGGGGGAAGCAAAUAAGAAAAAAAUUCUGUUCUUGUGAAAGACUUAAUGAGGGAAAAAGCAGAGGAUGGAAAGCCCUAAUCUGACCUUCAAACAAAAAAGUCCUUUGAAAAUAAUGAAGCCAUCUGACUGGUAAUCAAGAAGAGCUACCAGAGAAGUCAUAGUUUCUUCAAAAACAAACAAUAGACGAAAAAGGUUAAUUGAUGAAAUUCAAGCAAUCUGGCUCCUUGACUUGACAAAGAGUUUAAAGGCUGGAUGUGAAUGAGUAUAAUUGCUUCCCACUGUGACUCCCCCAAAGUACGCACACUCAAGUAAAAUUUGCAAAUUUUUUUUGCAAAGGGCUACUGUUAAAUCCCAAAGAAAUAUUCUUAAUGAGUUUGGUUUUUGUUUUGUUUCUUUUUUUUUUUUUUUUUUUUGCCUUUGUGAUUCAGAAAACACAGGAGGUGAAAAUGUCAAGUUCCCGAAAAGAGACUAUUUUUUCCUUAAAUGUAUGAACUUAAGUUUCAUACAAGAGCUAAAAUUGUAAUCUAUGUUGAAUUAUAAAAAGCUGUGUUGUUGUGCUUGAGCCCACGGGUGGAUCUGAAGUUUUAAAGAGAAAUUGUUAACACAAAUGUUCAUCAAUUUUUUUUUUUUUUUUUUUCAGUACGAGAUAGAGGAUGUUUUAUUGGCCUAGGGAAUUUGUGGGAGGUUUAGGUACUGGGCGCUGGGCCAGGGUGGCCCGAGCCAUGCUCAAGGCACCUUCUCGGGUGUGGUGCCCACCAAUGAAUCCGCUGGUGUGGACAAAGAUGCAGCCAGGAAUCCCACUGACCUGGUCCAGGGCCUCAUCCCGAAGACCCCACCAUGGCUCUGGCAGGGGCAGCUGGCUCUGGAAUGAAUGGGGCUCCUUGGGCACACACUGUAUCCGCCACUGUCCAGCCUGGUCAGUGUAGAUAACAAAGGUGAUGGUGCCCUGUGGGGACAGCCCAGAUUCCAGGUGGUAGAGGUGCUCCUUCCAGAGGCAUCCACCUUUUGCCAGUUCUACUAUCUCCCCACUUGGGUCCACCUGGAAUCGCCGGGCCAGGGCUUCUACCACCAAGGCCCGGGCUGGCAGCCAGCUGUGUUGGUAGAAGGGUAGUCUCUGCAGAAACCCCUCUCGGACUAGGUCCAUGGCGCGCUUGAACCCGGCCUCAGUGUCUUGGUCAGGCUGGUUCCAGGUCGGAUUAAGUCGAGCAACCCUAGCACUCAGUGUGGUAGUCAACACAUACCUGGACUGGGGCACCUGGGUGGCUCAGUGGGUAAAGCCUCUGCCUUCAGCUCAAGUCAUGAUCCCAGGGUCCUGGGAUCGAGCCCCGCAGCCUGCUUCCUCCUCUCUCUGCCUGCUUCUCUGUCCACUUGUGAUCUCCGUCUGUCAAAUAAAUAAAUAAAAAUCUUUAAAAAAAAGUACUCAAGAACUGAUUAGGAAUAUUGCAAGCAAAGGAAUUUUCCCAAAAUAAUGAGAAGAUAGCCUUCUAUGCAGAGCACUGCAUGGACAACAGCAUAAAAGGGGGUCAAAAGUGGUAAAAGUGGGGCAUUCAGG
ensembl:lincRNA